GAAGCAGUUGCCAUGGGCAGCAGAAUCCACAGGAGCAGCGGAUCCCGAAGUAGAUCUUUGUGGUUCACCUCAGGUGCAAAAAUGAAAAGGAGGGGAAAGAAAACUCAGUGGCAGGGAUGGUGAAGGGCUUACAUAAUGUUGCCAGCAGUAGGCAAUCUGGCCAGGUUGAUAGUAGCAUCCCAUAGUGGACAGCUUCUUGCCUGAGCCUCACUUCAGUGAAGCAUGCAGUCAUGACCAGGACUUGCAAAAAAAAAAAAAAAAAAGUAU